rnacentral:rRNA from 1 species
UGGGGAAUUUUGGACAAUGGGGGAAACCCUGAUCCAGCCAUCCCGCGUGUGCGAUGAAGGCCUUCGGGUUGUAAAGCACUUUUGGCAGGAAAGAAACGUCAUGGGUUAAUACCCCGUGAAACUGACGGUACCUGCAGAAUAAGCACCGGCUAACUACGUGCCAGCAGCCGCGGUAAUACGUAGGGUCCAAGCGUUAAUCGGAAUUACUGGGCGUAAAGCGUGCGCAGGCGGUUCGGAAAGAAAGAUGUGAAAUCCCAGAGCUCAACUUUGGAACUGCAUUUUUAACUACCGGGCUAGAGUGUGUCAGAGGGAGGUGGAAUUCCGCGUGUAGCAGUGAAAUGCGUAGAUAUGCGGAGGAACACCGAUGGCGAAGGCAACCUCCUGGGAUAACACUGACGCUCAUGCACGAAAGCGUGGGGAGCAAACAGG